rnacentral:rRNA from 1 species
GACGAACGCUGGCGGCGUGCUUAACACAUGCAAGUCGAACGAAGAGCGACGGAAGCUUGCUUCUAUCAAUCUUAGUGGCGCACGGGUGAGUAACGCGUAAUCAACCUGCCCUUCAGAGGGGGACAACAGUUGGAAACGACUGCUAAUACCGCAUACGAUCUAAUCUCGGCAUCGAGGAUGGAUGAAAGGUGGCCUCUACAUGUAAGCUAUCACUGAAGGAGGGGAUUGCGUCUGAUUAGCUAGUUGGAGGGGUAACGGCCCACCAAGGCGAUGAUCAGUAGCCGGUCUGGGAGGAUGAACGGCCACAUUGGGACUGAGACACGGCCCAGACUCCUACGGGAGGCAGCAGUGGGGAAUCUUCCGCAAUGGACGAAAGUCUGACGGAGCAACGCCGCGUGAGUGAUGACGGCCUUCGGGUUGUAAAGCUCUGUUAAUCGGGACGAAAGGCCUUCUUGCGAAUAGUGAGAAGGAUUGACGGUACCGGAAUAGAAAGCCACGGCUAACUACGUG